ACACUGUGUGAACAGUGAGUCAGAGGGAAUGCUAUGGUAACUCACACUUAAUCAUAACAUUUACAGCUCCAUGUUCCUCAAGAGGCUGAGAAACCAGUGCGAGCGUAGCGUAGCGUAUCUUGGCUAUUGUCAUCCAGAUGAGAGAAAUAUAAGGGGGAACCAGAAACCGAUCAACAGAAGGAGACAGUGAAGACUUCGAGGAAUUGGAGGGUGAAGAAUAACAAAUACCAGGAACAGCCGCUGCAGUGAGGUUUCACCAGUGUUUACUGACUACGUGUUGUGUGUAGCUUUAGAUUAGAGCUUCACGAAUAUACCUGGAGAUGCACUGGCAGAAAGCACAUAGUUUCGGGGUCUGGUCUCCUGAAAGUCUGGAGCUGUCUGCAGAAACAACUCACGGAUAUUGUCCUCCAGUCACCUUCAAGAAAGUUCCUGAGCGGGGUGAGAAAGCUGAUGGCAGAUGUCUGGAGGAACUCCCUCUCUGCAGCUCCUAAUCUUCUUUCACAUUCCCCCACCUCCAUCAAAGUACUCCCUGCAAUAACCAAUCAUCACAAAGUCAUUAUUUCAAACUUCCUCUCCUCCCAGGCUUUCAGUGUGCCGCUACAGUGUCUAUGUGUUGCUCUAUUCUAAGCUAAUGCCUCGCUAUAACCCCUGAGUGCUGCAAAUGCUUCGUGUUGACUGAUAGACUCAAUUAAAAAACUUGCACAGAUGAAAAAAUAAAGAUGAUGUGUAUGUUUUUUUUAUUUUAAAUAUGGAAUCAUAAGAUCCAAAAGAAAGAAAACAUGAGUGCAUAUGUAAUAUAAGAACACCUUCUCUUACGUAAGGAAAAGACAUACAGACCUCAUCAGUCAGGAAUUUCAUGAUCAAAAACAGUACAAUUGUCAUGAUCCUGGUUUCGGGUCUGUCAUGUCUGUGUGCUGUGUGUUUUAUUCAACAAAAGGUAGGCUGAGGUAAGUUGUAGGGAGGCAGGGAACAGGCUGUCAGAUUCCCCAUGUAUGGCAACGAUCCGGCAGAGACUGGCUGUUGCAGCAGGCUUACAUACUGGAGUUGGCUUGAUUGCUGGGCAGGGGGGCUGAUUGUUGAUUAGGAUCAGGUGAGUGGAAGCUGGAUGGAAGACAGGAGGGGGGAAGGGGGAAAACGGACAAAACCCCAAAAACACACCAAGCACUCAUCAUUCAUACUUAAAGCAGAAAAAUAAACAAAAAACACAUUCAAACUAGGUAUACAUGAGUCAAGAGUGAG